rnacentral:miRNA from 1 species
UUGUACUCAAUAUACUUCCUAUUUGCAUACAUACAUACAUAUACACAUACAUAUGUGUAUGUGUAUAUGUAUGUAUGUAUGUAUGCAAAUGGGAAGUAAAUUGAGUACAA